AGAGUAUGUAGUAGGCUUAUUCAAUUUCAACCUAACAAAUGUUGACUCUCUUAUCCUCAGGGCUUCUAUUUGCCCUUACAAAGUAGUUAUCUGGCCUAAGAGGUGUUGUAUUGGAGCUUCCAUCUGGGAUUGCUUUGCCAUAUCUCCCAUAUUGUAAUUUUUUUUACUAGACUCCACAAUUAUAAUACCUUUUUAUUUCCUAAUUGACUUCUUAAGAGUAUCUUGUGAUAACCUCAAUACAAUAUCUAGUAUAACCACAAUAAUUGAUCUUAGACUAAAUGAUGACUAUUGAUAUACUACCAAAAGUAAACAAUUUAACACUUACUCUGAUAUCAAUGAAACAUGACCAAACUAUCUUUAAAAUCCAAGAUCCUUCUAAUUUAUAGCAACAUGAAGCUUCAUCACAAAAUAGGACAAAAUAAAUCAGGAAAGAACUAAAUAGAACUAAACAAAAUAGGAUAUAAAAGAUAAACUAAAUAAAUAGAAAUAAAACAAAACUAAACUAAACAAAACUUUACUAAAAGAACUGGUCUGAAGCCAUAUUUAACUAGAUGCCUCAAAAGGCCCUAGCCAAUCCUAUUUAUACCUUAUUCUAUCACCCUGGACUUUUUAGAAUGUUCCUAGGUAGUAGACUCUACCUAGAUAACCACCUU
rnacentral:lncRNA from 1 species